GUGCUUGCUUCAGCAACACAUAUACUAAAAUUGGAAUGAUACAGAGAAAAUUAGCAAGGCCCCUGAACAAGGAUGACAUGCAAAUUCAUGAAAAAAGAUAUUUGUCA
rnacentral:snRNA from 1 species